GACGAACGCUGGCGGCGUGCUUAACACAUGCAAGUCGAACGGUAAGGCCCUUCGGGGUACACGAGUGGCGAACGGGUGAGUGACACGUGGGUGAUCUGCCCUGCACUUCGGGAUAAGCCUGGGAAACUGGGUCUAAUACCGGAUAGGACCACUGCCUGCAUGGGUGGUGGUGGAAAGCUUUUGCGGUGUGGGAUGGGCCCGCGGCCUAUCAGCUUGUUGGUGGGGUGAUGGCCUACCAAGGCGACGACGGGUAGCCGGCCUGAGAGGGUGACCGGCCACACUGGGACUGAGAUACGGCCCAGACUCCUACGGGAGGCAGCAGUGGGGAAUAUUGCACAAUGGGCGCAAGCCUGUUGCAGCGACGCCGCGUGAGGGAUGACGGCCUUCGGGUUGUAAACCUCUUUCAGCACCGACGAAGCGCAAGUGACGGUAGGUGCAGAAGAAGGACCGGCCAACUACGUGCCAGCAGCCGCGGUAA
rnacentral:rRNA from 1 species